AUAUAUAGAGUGAGACUAUUAUGCUUCUGUAAGUACGGAGCCUUCCGUGCUUUCAGGUUGUUUUCAUGUUGUGACUUUCGAAUUGUCGAUUGGCUCCAUUAAAUUUGAUCUAGAAUAUUUGAAGUACUUAGAAAAUAAAUUAUGUGAUUUUUCGAAAUUAUUUGCCUAGUGAACGAAGGGGCUCAAAAUCAACGGCUAAAAAUAAAAUCUUACAAAACGUGAUAAUACGACAUUAAAAUUUUAGAUCAAAGAUAUUGAUCUUGUUUUAUAUAGUAUAAAGAAUUUUCUAUCGAAAUUUCACGUGAUUUGGAUAUUUUUACACCGUUAAACCUCCAAACGGCUCACUACAGCCAUUAAAAUUAUUGAUUUUGAGCAUCUUCGAUCACUAGGCAAAUGAUAUCGAAAAAUUAUAAAAUUUAUUUUCUAGGUACUUCAAAUACUUUAGAUCAAGUUUAACGGAGCUGAUCGACGAUUCGAAAGUCGCAACAUCGAAAACGAUCUGAAAGCACGAAAGACUCCGUGCUUCCAAAAGUAUUGUAGCCUCAAACUAUAU
rnacentral:lncRNA from 1 species